GAUGAACGCUGGCGGCGUGCCUAAUACAUGCAAGUCGAGCGAACUGAUUAGAAGCUUGCUUCUAUGACGUUAGCGGCGGACGGGUGAGUAACACGUGGGCAACCUGCCUGUAAGACUGGGAUAACUUCGGGAAACCGAAGCUAAUACCGGAUAGGAUCUUCUCCUUCAUGGGAGAUGAUUGAAAGAUGGUUUCGGCUAUCACUUACAGAUGGGCCCGCGGUGCAUUAGCUAGUUGGUGAGGUAACGGCUCACCAAGGCAACGAUGCAUAGCCGACCUGAGAGGGUGAUCGGCCACACUGGGACUGAGACACGGCCCAGACUCCUACGGGAGGCAGCAGUAGGGAAUCUUCCGCAAUGGACGAAAGUCUGACGGAGCAACGCCGCGUGAGUGAUGAAGGCUUUCGGGUCGUAAAACUCUGUUGUUAGGGAAGAACAAGUACGAGAGUAACUGCUCGUACCUUGACGGUACCUAACCAGAAAGCCACGGCUAACUACGUGC
rnacentral:rRNA from 2 species